AUAUUCACGCCACGCCACUCCAGCCUGGGCAACAGAGCUAGACCUUGUCUCAAAAAAUUAAGUUAGUUAAAUUAAACAUAAAGUUGCAUUGUAUUUAAGAAAUUGGGAAAGCAUUCAUAUGUGGGCAGUAAAAAAGUGGAUCUCAUGAAGAUAGAAAGUAAAUUGAUGGUUGCUAGAGGCCAGCAAGGGGAGUGGGAAGAGGAGAUUAAGAGAAGAAAAUAUAAAUGUAUUUAUCACCACUAAACUGUCCUCUAAAAAUGUACAGAUGGUAAAUUAUAUAUAUAUUUUUUAACUCAAUAAAAAGUUAAAAAAAAUUCUGCUGUGUGUUUAUAGAGCACAUGUACAAGACUUUCUCUAGGGUUGUAUCAGUUUUCUAUUCCUGCUGUAACAAUUUACCACAAAUUCAGUGGCUUAAAAGAACACAUUUUUGUAAGAUUUGAGUCAGUUUUAAAAAACACACACAAACUUAUUGUCUUAGAAUUGUUUU
rnacentral:lncRNA from 1 species